rnacentral:rRNA from 1 species
UUCGGGUUGUAAACUCCUGUCAUUUGGGAACAAUGUGCAUUUAUUAACUGUAGAUGCAUUGAUAGUACCAGAAGAGGAAGAGACGGCUAACUCUGUGCCAGCAGCCGCGGUAAUACAGAGGUCUCAAGCGUUGUUCGGAUUCAUUGGGCGUAAAGGGUGCGUAGGUGGCGGGGUAAGUCUGGUGUGAAAUCUCGGGGCUCAACCCCGAAACUGCACUGGAUACUGCCUUGCUCGAGUACUGGAGAGGAGAUUGGAAUUUACGGUGUAGCAGUGAAAUGCGUAGAUAUCGUAAGGAAGACCAGUGGCGAAGGCGAAUCUCUGGACAGUUACUGACACUGAGGCACGAAGGCCAGGGGAGCAAACAGGAUUAGAUACCCUGGUAGUCCAAGGGCGAAU